rnacentral:rRNA from 1 species
AGACCCCGUGAACCUUUACUAUAGCUUGACACUGAACAUUGAGCCUUGAUGUGUAGGAUAGGUGGGAGGCUUUGAAGUGUGGACGCCAGUCUGCAUGGAGCCGACCUUGAAAUACCACCCUUUAAUGUUUGAUGUUCUAACGUGGGCCCCUUACCGGGGUUGCGGACAGUGUCUGGUGGGUAGUUUGACUGGGGCGGUCUCCUCCUAAAGAGUAACGGAGGAGCACGAAGGUUGGCUAAUCCUGGUCGGACAUCAGGAGGUUAGUGCAAUGGCAUAAGCCAGCUUGACUGCGAGCGUGACGGCGCGAGCAGGUGCGAAAGCAGGUCAUAGUGAU